rnacentral:rRNA from 2 species
UACGUAGGGUGCGAGCGUUAAUCGGAAUUACUGGGCGUAAAGCGUGCGCAGGCGGUUCGUUGUGUCUGCUGUGAAAUCCCCGGGCUCAACCUGGGAAUGGCAGUGGAAACUGGCGAGCUUGAGUGUGGCAGAGGGGGGUGGAAUUCCGCGUGUAGCAGUGAAAUGCGUAGAGAUGCGGAGGAACACCGAUGGCGAAGGCAACCCCCUGGGCUAACACUGACGCUCAGGCACGAAAGCGUGGGGAGCAAACAGG